CUUUGAGAGUGACCACCCAGGCAUGGGCUGUUUAAGAUGAGGACAGGGGUGGGGAAUGGGGUAAGGGGGACACCACAAUACUUCACAAACUUGUUAACUCAGUAGGACAACACAAAACAGAUCAUAAUGACAAAGAAAUCUAGGUCCCAAGCUGACAGAAUCUGUGAUUAUCAACUCUUCAUCCCCAAUGGUCCCCAAAGCAGGAAGGUAAGAGAGCAGGGACAGUGACUGAGCCCUCUGUGGCAGCUUGAAGGAUCUGGAAAAAUCUUUUAAAUUUUUAUGUCCACAGAGGAGCUCCUCUCUAUCUGACCCUUCGACCUUGCUGCCUUGGCUUCUCUAGACCAUCAUUCUAUUCUACUUCAAUGUCUUCUCACCUGAAAACAGUGGGAAUCCUGCACCUCCUAAACAGUGUCCUUUUCUCUUCUGCCUCAAGCCCUGGCAAUCACAGUUCUACUUUCUGAGUGUGGAAAUGUAACUAUGCCAUGAAAAUGAGACCUACCCUGCUCACUAACUUGGGAACUUCAGGACAUUGCAAUCACAUCUCUCAACUUGGAAGUCCACCUGCUGUGCCCAACACACAUGGAUAAAUGUACUUUGCAUUUCAAUUUUUUUAAAAAAAUAAAAUAUAAUUCACCGUA